GUGAGGCAGAAAGGAAAAGCCGGUUGAGGAAAAAAGUCUACACUCCGAGGAUUGCGCCUUAUGCGAGGAAUUUGAUGUGGUUCGUGAGCAAUGGGCCAAGUUUUUUACCAGCAAGUAUUUAUUAUUGGCUUUAGCGCGCUUGAUCGAGUUGGUUUAGUUGUUAUAGAAUAAAUUUUAUAUUAAAAUGUAUGUUUAUGUUGAAAUUGGAACAUAUAUUUAAAUGUAAUAUGUGCACUUAAUUUGGUUUUGGGAUAUAUAGUAUACAAAACUCCAGUUGUUGUUUUUA